AUGGUCUAAUUUUGCCCUAUUUGAAAGGGUCAUGAAUAAUAAUGUCGAGCUCUGCUCUGAGGCUCAUGCCAGAAGCUCACAUUAGAAAACAGACCUUAUAUUUUGAGCCCUUAUCAGACAAAAAUACAGAUUUUGAGUAACAACUAAUUGUUAACUAAUAGAACUUCAGCUAAACACUAACAUAUAACAUUUAUUGGCAUGCAAAGCUAACUCAGCAGUCACAACUUUGUUUUUAGCAUUUUAACAAAUUUGUAAUUAAUGUGUAAUUUAAUGUUUUCAAAACAUGCACAUUGUGUAAUGGUUUCCUUUGCUGCUCUAUAAACCUAGAAUCAUAAGAAGACCAUGGUUUCUGUGUGAACUGAUUAUUUUGUAGACAUCUUUUGAAAAUGAAACAAUUGCGUGAGUUUGAGGAAGAUAAUAUGAAUUAACUUUAAAUAAAUUUUUUAAAAAGGAAGUCAGAGUUGCGUUAAUAUAUAUACUUUUUUGUUUAAAAAAAGAAAAAAAAACAUAAUUAUGAGAAGUAGACCUGUUCGAGUCGUGACUCACUCGGAUCUUUCACCCGGAUCUUUAAAUUAACUCAUGAGUCGCGAGUCUCUACCCACCCAGCACAAGACGUCAUUUAGACGUUGUUUUAUGGGCUAAAUCACGUCAGCCCGUCAUGACCUUCAUUUAGUCCAAAAAAAGACGUUGAAAACUGGUCUUUGUUUGGUCCGUCUAAUUCAGUCCAAAUUUAGCCUAAAAUUAGACGUCUUUUUCGGACCACUUUUCAACGUGUCUCCAUUCAAUAAUAAUCCUGACAAAAUAUGCAUGAAUGUAUAAAUACUGAGCACAUUGAACGAUAAUGAAACACAUGCUUUGUUUAAAGUCUAUUAAUAUUUCUGUUUAUUUUAAUUAAAUAAAUAUGUUAAAUGUGCUCUAAACAGGUCAUUUCGGUCCUGUACAGCACUGAUAGAAGCACUUCAUUUUCAUCUUUUAACAAAUAUCUUUAUUUUCUUUUAAUAUGAUAUUAUUGGCAGAGGCGCGCGUCCGUCUCAUGCUUUGUGAUCACGUGAUUAUUCAACGGGGAGAUGCGCGUUCUGGAUUUACUGAUUUUCUCCUCAGAAGUGUUUCUGUUUUGUGGUCGAUUCUGGGAUCCUUUUCUUGGUGUGUCUUGAUGUUUUCUAUUGGCUAAAGACAAUAAAAGCAUAGAGAUAUAUAAAGCAAAGACAACUACAGUAUAAGAUAAUCCUUCAGGAGCCAGUAAAACAUAUACAGUUACAGCAGUAAACAUACUUGUUAUGGGUGCAAAUAAGGAGACUUAGACAUGUCUCUGUGAAACUGACAAUCUCAGGUAGGAGCUGCUGGUUUGUGGUUGGCAGUAUGGAUCACGGUCUGCGACCCAUGAGGAGCUGGUCUGGAGACAUGAAGAGGUUGUCAACAGGCCAUCCAUCCAAGAUCAUCUAUCUGAGCUGCUGAAAACUGCCUCGGUACGGAUCUGUUGGAGCUUUGUGUCACUGACUGUAUUUCUGCAAAUUCCUGUUUCGUGUCACAUUGCUUAUGCAAGACUGAAUCCAUAAAGAUGCUGUAACCAUAAUGCAACCAGGACAACACACCUGGAGUGACCGAGAGCAGGAUGAAGAAGGAAUCGGAUGAGAAAAUGUCAACUGGUGCCCAUGAGGAGACAUAUUGUUCUUGGACCUGCUUUUUAUGUUUAGUAAUAAGUGGUUUUAUGUGGUUAAAUAAAAGUAAUUUAAUAUUAAUAUUUAAUAUUUUAAUAUUCACUCCAAAAUGGUCUAGUAUUGUCACUUAACUUAUGCUGCUUGACUUCUCAGCAUAAAGAUCAUUAUUAAAUUAAUAUUAAAUAUUUCAAAUUUAGAAAUAGGCUACCCCAUGCCAUCUAGUAAAGAAGUGGGUAAUCCGUGCCUGUCGUGUACCCAGCACUACACCAUAUGGCAUCAUUGAUGUCUGUUGUAGAUAUAUAACUGUUAUUAAAUAAUUAUAUUGUAUUUCUUUCUAUUUAAGUCCAAGUUCAAAAUAAAACUAUAAACCUCUCCAUUGUGAAAUGGUUUAUAUACAUUCAAAAUGGAGCGGUUUAUAGAGUUUUAUUUUGAACUUGGACAUAAAUACAAAAAAUACAAUAUAAUUAUUUAAUAACAAAGUUAUAUAUCUACUAACAGCGGACAUCAAUGAUGCCAUAUGGCCCGGCGUUGCAUUGACCCCUCAGAUCUGAUUUGUGCAUUUUUGUAUUCAUGGUUAAAAUGUUCAACUUUUUGAUUGUAAUAAUAAUUUAACCUUUAAAAUGUUCAGUGACAUUACUGUCAGAUUCAAACGUGUUUCGCGCUGAGCCAGACGGACGAGCUCAGUGCUGUCAUAUAGCAACACUAUGCAGUGUUUUCAACCUCAUAAUGUUUAUUUUAGAUUUCAGACAUUUAAAUAUACACAUAAGCACUGGUAAAACAAUAGCCUACAUUUGUAAAAUACACACUGAUGUCUGUGGAAGCAGCAAUACAAAUCUAUUCAAAUAAGAUAGUAAUUUGCAAAUAAUAAAUAAAUAUUAUUUUCAAAUAAUAAUAAUUUGCCGACGUAUCAGACAAACACAGUGAGUAUAAAGUUUACUUUAUUGUUAUAAAGGUUAUAAUGAAAAGACGGGGAUGCGCUCCUCCCUUGCGAAAAAUAAGCGUGCUUAAAUGUACUUUUAUAAAGUGUACUUAUUACAUAAAUAUAAUAUACUUUAAUACAGUUAAGUGUGAAUUAAAUGCAAUCUUUUCGGCGCACUUAAUGCACAUUAAAUGUAAUUAAUUUCAAAUAUAUCAUAUAUUAAGUUGAAAUAAAAUUUAAUAAGUUGCCAUUAAGAGUUAACUUAAUUGGUACUUUAUUACAACUUUAUAUCUACUUUCAUAAUUGCUUCUAGUGUUUUUACAAUAUAGGCUACUUAAAGUGCACUACACAAUAUAAUGACAUGAAAUUAAUGUGACUUAAAAUACACUUUAAUGUCGGUUAACAGUAAACUUAAGUGUGGAUUAUAUCCAAUGUUUUCAGCGAAAUUAAUAAACAUUAAGUGUAAUUAAUUUCAAAUGUAUCACAUAUUAAGUUGAAAUUAAAACCAAUAAGUUGCCAUUAAGAGUGCUUUUUUUUGCAUCAACUUAUGUGGGUCUUUAAUACAACUUUAUAUUUACUUUCAUAAUUGCUUCUAGUGUUUUUAAAAUAUAGUUAAAGUGCACUGUUCAAUCUGCUGUCAAGCAAUUAAAGCUCACGUAACACACGCUGUUUCUGCAUUUCUGAUAUUAAUCUGGAGUACCUAUAGAGUAGUAUGACAUCCUUUAUAUCUCUGAAGAGUCUUUAGUUUAAUCAGAUUUAUAAAAGAAAGAUUAGCUUUACCGAAUCUUUCCGAUAACGUACGAAAAAAUGAAGAAGGAGGAGUUA